rnacentral:rRNA from 1 species
UACGUAGGGUGCGAGCGUUGUCCGGAAUUAUUGGGCGUAAAGAGCUCGUAGGCGGUUUGUCGCGUCGGCUGUGAAAACCCGGAGCUCAACUCCGGGCCUGCAGUCGAUACGGGCAGACUUGAGUGUUGCAGGGGAGACUGGAAUUCCUGGUGUAGCGGUGAAAUGCGCAGAUAUCAGGAGGAACACCGGUGGCGAAGGCGGGUCUCUGGGCAACAACUGACGCUGAGGAGCGAAAGCGUGGGGAGCGAACAGG